GGCAUCCUGCUUUCUUCUGAGGGGUAAAUGCAUUUAUUUCUUUAACUUGAUAUUCACAAUGAGUGCAUUUCUGUCUUUUUAUGUGUAUAUUAAAAAAGUACGUUCAUCAUAUAAUUUUUUAAGUUUUAAUCUUCUAUUUAAGAGAAUUGAAGAAAGAAAUACUCUUACUAGUCUUCUCAUUAUAUAAUGUAAUAGUUGGAUACUAUUUCAUGCUGGUCUUUUUUUUAAUCUCUCCCCUCCCCCUUGCGUCCAUGUGCGUGGGCAUUUUGUAUACUUACUGAGAUCAGAGCAUAUUUCUUGUAUUAUUAAUUCUUUUUUCCUUUCAUGUGCUAACUAUGUUAUUAAUUCUUAAUAUAGAAAACAUUGUUUCAGAGAUUUGAGGCAUUUGAAAUGAAAAUGGUGCGGACGCAAUGUAUAGGGAAAAUUGAAGCUGAUGCUCAGUUUCAAAAUGGAUAAGCUCAUGAAGGGGCACAAAAUAGUUAACAAUAAUAAAAGUAUAAAACAAAAGAAUAACAGAAGACAAUCCUAAAAUUACAGAAUGCUUCACCAUUAAAAUGACUUCUUCCAAAUUUAAAUUUCUAAAUUAACUUAAUAAAAAUCUUUUUUACUUGCAAAUUUCAUUCAUGCUGGUCGAACUGUACACUUUUACUAAUAUUCACUGCUACCUAGUAUGUGGGUGUAUAGGAAAAGUCAAUAGGAUAUGAGGAUAUGAUAUGGCACAAUAUAUAUGAUAUACUGUGCUACUUGAACUUAGGCACAAUUAUUGAAAACAUGCAGGUAUCUGGGUGUUUGACUAUGCUAUUUUCUAAAACUUUUUGUAGAUUUUAUCAGUUAACUGCACAGCGUCAUACUUAUAUCUUCAUUGUUAUCUUAUCUGACAUGAACUGCAGAGCGUCAUACUAAUAUCUUGGUUGUUAUCUUAUCUGACAUGGACUGCAGAACUUCUUACUUAUGUCUUGGUAGUUAUUCUAUUUGAUUUGGUUAUCAUAGGUUAAAGUGAGGGGUUAAAGUAAUUAUGCAAUAUGCAUAUUUGCAGAUAUGAUAGCUCCUGAAAGAGUAGAUAUAUUAUGAUGAGGAUGCAUCAAUAUGAAAGCGUACAUGAUGUAUUAAAUGUUAUACAGUUGCAAUUUACAAUUAUAAAAUUCGAUCAGCAAUUGUAUGUUUUGUCAACACAUGCAUUAUAAAAGCCAUUUUAAGUAUCAAGGAUGGGUGAUUGAUUUUGUUUAUUGGUCAAAGUAUUCAUAUAUAGCUGCAAUUUAGAAUAAUUAUAUAAGAUUGAUAUGGCUUGAGAAUAGAAUCAGUUAAGACGUUGCAUCUCAUUAUUGAUAUGCUCUACUUUAAUUUGAAUAUUAUUUGUUUUCUUGUCAUAACUAUGUGGUGUUCCUUAGAACUCUGUCUAGGUAUGAGUAUAGCCUCAGUUAGAACACACAUAGCUGGUCCCAUGCCUGGUUAAAGAAGGGGGGUGUUAUUUAGAUGACAAAAAGUGUAAAGCUUUAUCACAUCUUAUGAUAUGGAUCCAAAAAGGUAUAAUGUUGAGGUGUACAUCUGGGUGGAAUGGAGAAAAUGGAUCCAUAUAGCUGAACCGACUAGUUUAAGAUUAAGGUUUGGUUGAAUUAAUUUGUCAUAAGUGGUGUUCCUUCAGUGUUAGGCUAUGUCAGAGUCAGAUGGAUGAACUUUAUGGUGUACACAGUUUAUCCAUUUCACAUUUCUGGAAUUAAAAGUUGAAAGUAAAUUCAUAUGGGAGGUGCUUAAAGUCAGGUGGCAACUUGGUUCGCCAUAUUUCUUCUUGUUUAUUGUUACCGAAAUAGGGAAGAGACAUCCAGUGCCAUGAAGCAUCUUGCUCACAUGGUUAAAGUUCUGUUCUAUAUGGAUUAUAGCUUAUCAUUUGCACCAGACAUUUAUGAAUAUGUAUCUAUGUGAUACAAAUUGCACACUAUCAGCUUGUCACAAUUAAUAUAUCAUCAUGGAUGCUAAGUUAUGCAGCAAUAAUCCUUCCCUUUUUAUUGUUACCCGAUAUUACAUGUUCUAAUGAUUUUCUAUUGUCCCUUUUUCUUAUGUAAUAAUGAAUCCUUUUGGGGUUGAGAGGGAUGAAUUAAAAUGAAAAGAAUUUGGUAAAUAUUUUAAUUGUUUGGAUUGUGAUGCUAUUUAAUAUCAAAUUCUCUCCUUCUCCUAUGUCUUCUCAACUUAAGCAGAAGGUUUCUUAAUCUUAAAAAUUCCAAUACUGAAUUUAGCUUAAACUGGUGGAUGCCUCAUAUGUCCAAUU
rnacentral:misc_RNA from 1 species